rnacentral:rRNA from 1 species
CCUACGGGGGGCUGCAGUGGGGAAUAUUGCACAAUGGGGGAAACCCUGAUGCAGCGACGCCGCGUGAGCGAGGAAGUAUUUCGGUAUGUAAAGCUCUAUCAGCAGGGACGAAAAAAGACGAUACCUGACUAUGAAGCCCCGGCUAAAUACGUGCCAGCAGCCGCGGUAAUCUGUAGGGGGCCAGCGGUAUCCGGAUUUAGUGGGUGUAAAGGGAGCGGAGACGGGAAGGCGAGCUCGUAGGGAAAGGGCAGGGCUCAACCCUGUACAUGCUUUUGGAACUGGGGAGCUAGAGUUCGGGAGAGGUAAGCGGAAUUCCUAGUGUAGCGGUGAAAUGCGUAGAUAUUAGGAGGAACACCAGUGGCGAAGGCGGCUUACUGGACUGUAACUGACGUUGAGGCUCGAAAGCGUGGGGAGCAAACAGGAUUAGAUACCCGGGUAGUC